rnacentral:rRNA from 1 species
AACGCUGGCGGCAUGCCUAACACAUGCAAGUCGAACGAGACCUUCGGGUCUAGUGGCGCACGGGUGCGUAACGCGUGGGAACCUGCCCUUAGGUUCGGAAUAACUCCCCGAAAGGGGUGGUAAUACCGGAUAAUGUCUUCGGACCAAAGAUUUAUCGCCUUUGGAUGGGCCCGCGUUGGAUUAGCUAGUUGGUAGGGUAAAAGCCUACCAAGGCGACGAUCCAUAGCUGGUCUGAGAGGAUGAUCAGCCACACUGGGACUGAGACACGGCCCAGACUCCUACGGGAGGCAGCAGUGGGGAAUAUUGGACAAUGGGCGAAAGCCUGAUCCAGCAAUGCCGCGUGAGUGAUGAAGGCCUUAGGGUUGUAAAGCUCUUUUACCCGGGAUGAUAAUGACAGUACCGGGAGAAUAAGCUCCGGCUAACUCCGUG